GGCAAAUUAUAUAGCUCUAAAGUGAGUACAUCCUGCCAGAUCACGAUAAAGUAAAGAGUACAGAUCUGAAGAAAUAUCUCCUACAGAUGUCCAAAGAAACUCCCCAGAGUGUCGUGCGACGAAAGAGGCGACCCAGUCUGCUGCCCUGUUCGCCUCCCGAUACACGUGGGCUACCUGGAAGCCACCGAACUCCUGAGCCAGUCUCCGAAUCUCU
rnacentral:lncRNA from 1 species